rnacentral:rRNA from 1 species
AUUGAACGCUGGCGGCAGGCCUAACACAUGCAAGUCGAACGAGUGGCAGACGGGUGAGUAAUGUCUGGGAAACUGCCUGGUGGAGGGGGAUAACUACUGGAAACGGUAGCUAAUACCGCAUACCAUCAGAUGUGCCCAGAUCGGAUUAGCUAGUUGGUGGGGUAACGGCGCACCAAGGCGACGAUCCAUAGCUGGUCUGAGAGGAUGACCAUCAACACUGGAACUGAGACACGGUCCAGAAUCCUACGGGAGGCAGCAGUGGGGAAUAUUGCACGAGGGGCGCAAGCCUGAUGCAGCCAUGCCGCGUGUAUGAAGAAGGCCUUCGGGUUGUAAAGUACUUUCAGCGGGGAGGCGUUACCCGCAGAAGAAGCACCGGCUAACUCCGUGUCAGCAGCCGCGGUAAUUC